rnacentral:lncRNA from 1 species
AUGACAGAACUCAGUGAUCCUCUUGCCUCAGCCUCCCUCAGUGUUGGGAUGAUAAGUAUGCACCACCCAUCUGGCGCUCACUUGUUCAUUUUUCCAGGUCUCUGCCGCAAGUUGAAGAUUGUGUGUAAGAGGAGAAAAGGAAGAGGCGAGGCCCUGAUGCGCACGCCUUCACAACACUCCCUGCCCAGGGCUCCCCUAAGUCGACUUCUUCACUCCAACCAAAACAUCUCCUUUGAAAUGACCCCCUCUCCAGUAAGUGCCAGAGCAACUGGAUGGAGUCCGCCGCUCCCCUCUGCCGAGCCCUUCAGGCUUCUGAGCUCCCAUCGUGGUGGCACUCGUGCAAUCGCUGUGCUCUGUGUUCAUAAGUCCCACAAGGAAAGAGCCCAUCCUGCUGUGUUUAGUGCUGUCGGCUGCACGGGGGACACAGUUGUUCAUACUCGGAAGGUAUACAAUGGGGAGCAGGCAAGAUGGGGUGGGGAGGUGGAGACAAAGAAUGUCAUGUGCGCGUCCAAAUCUGCCGUACGAAGCCAUUAAUCUGUAUAACCAAGAUGCACUAACAAAAAAGAUCUGAAAAAGGGAGCUUAUCGUAACAAAGUAAAGAUUUCAUUUGUUUUCCCAUUUCUCCUGACUUCCUUCUUUACUUUUGAGUCACGAUCUCACUAAGUUGCU